GUCCUUUUGGGACUUACCACAAGCUGUGUUCUUUACAUGACUGUACAGAAAGAGGAAGCACAGUAAGCCUACCCAUACCACCUCAGCUCAGACCCUUUGCUUGGUCUACUAUGAAUGGGUGUACAGGG